rnacentral:snRNA from 1 species
GGAAUAACAGGAGGUGAGGUCGCCCCACUGAUUGCCAGGGUUGACUUGGCUGAUCUGGCUGGCUAGGCGGGUGUCCCCUUCCUCCCUCACCACUCCAGGUGCGUCCCUCCCGAAGCUGCACACUUGGUCGAAGAGGANNNNNNNNNNUUUGUAUGUUUGAAGACUGAGGACACACACAAAAUAGGCCUGACUUAGGUAAAGUACUAUGCUGU